rnacentral:lncRNA from 1 species
GGUACACAUGCUACCCCUCAGCAUCCUUUGAUUAUAAAUUGAGAGAAAUGACGAAGAUUCACAAGUAGCAUCAAUAGCUUCUCAUAGUCCUUCAGCUACCUCCCUCCCUUUUUAUCAUCCCCAGCAGUGUUCUGUCAAAAUUAGAGUAUGACUCUGCAAGUAUUCAUUGGAAGAAAGCUCUGUUGAGUGCAGCCAUCCUAGAUGCCAGUACUUCUAUGAUGGGUCCUUUUUUAAUCUCUCUCUCUCUCCUUUUUUUUCUUUCCUGAGUAGAAUAGAAGGAAUGCAGACACCAACUAAAGAGAAGUCUGUUCUGAAGCAGACAAAACCCAUAACCAAGCUACUACAAAAGAAGUUCAGAUCUUCCACUAACACGUUCUGGGACUCCAAGUAGAUUUGUACUGCUCUCUUGGCCUGCAUGCUUAGUAAAGAGGUACUGCUCUUGGCAGAAAAGGGCUGAUAAUCAAAUCCCAAACUGUGCCCCAGCUGCACUUGAAUGUAACUCAACUACUCCAAUUCAGUACAAAGGCAAAGGUGAGAAGUAUAAGCUGGGGAAGAAGGUUAGGAACCAGCUCCCUCUGUUCCCAGCAUCCGCUCUCAGCUAAGGGCGUCUCAUGAAGCAACCUAGCACAGCACAUGGAAAAAAGUAAGAUUUUAUUUUAAGGUUUCAGAUUGUUUAACCAAAAUUGCAGGGGGGGGGGGGGGGAAGUACUUAAGCAUUUUUGUUCAAACCAUCUGCAAACACCCAAAGAACACAAUGUUUGAACAUCGAUGACAUGCAGAAAAAAAUCCAUUGCUUUGUCAUAAUUUUCUUCUUCCAGCAACACAAACAAAUAUAUAUCUUUUGAAAUUUCCUACAAAACAACUGUCAUUUUUAACAUCUUUGGUUAGAGGGCAAUUUGUAGAGUUACAGCCUUUCAAAUGAGCAGAUGUUCUGUUUUCCAGAGGGAAAUCAUACGGAUAUUAGAGUAGCUACAAAGGGAUAAACUCUUUGUACAUCGGCCUGGAUUCUCUUCAGUGUCUCUGUGCCAGUCUACUCUUUCAAGGAUUGUGCUGUAGUGACUGAGAAAGCAAAGAUGCUAGACAUACUUCCUCUUUAUUGAUGCUAAAAGCCUCAGAACAGGAUUGUGUGAUAGGAACAGGUUAUCAUUUUUCCUCUUGGUUUGCCAAUGACAAUAACAUCAACAGUGGCUGAACUCCCACCUGGACAAACUACAAGAUCAUCUUAUUGAUGAAGGAGCAGUAGUGCAGCUUUUUACA